rnacentral:rRNA from 1 species
AGGACGAACGCUGGCGGCGUGGAUUAGGCAUGCAAGUUGAGCGACGGUUAAGGGCUUGCCCUUAAUACGGAGCAGCGAACGGGUGAGUAACACGUGAACAAUCUGUCCCUUCAUUCCGGAUAAUUGGAAGAAAUUCCUUGUAAUACGGGCGAGGGUCUCCGGAGGGCAUUCUCUGGGGAAGGAAGGCGCAAGCCGUGCAGGGAGGAGUUCGCGGCCUAUCAGUUAGUUGGUGGGGUAAUGGCCUACCAAGACGACGACGGGUAGCUGGUCUGAGAGGAUGGUCAGCCACAUUGGAACUGAGACACUGUCCAGACUCCUACGGGAGGCUGCAGUCGAGAAUCUUGGGCAAUGCACGAAAGUGUGACCCAGCGACGCCGCGUGAAGGAUGAAGGCCCUCUGGGUCGUAAACUUCUUUUAAGGGGGAAAAUAAAUGAUGGUACCCUUGAAUAAGCCACGGCUAACUACGUGCCAGCAGCCGC